ACUGCGGUGGUGUAAUGGUUAGCAUUUCUGCCUAGCAAGCAAGAAGACGCGGGUUCGAGUCCCGGCCGCAGCA
rnacentral:tRNA from 1 species